rnacentral:lncRNA from 1 species
ACCAGCCUCCCUUGCCUUUUUGGUUUUUCUUGUGGUUGCUGCAUCAUCGACGGCAUCGCGAAUCAGUAUGUAGUGCGCUUGUGGACUUGGGGUAUGUACUAUAGUGUCCAUGUAGUAGGUUAGGUGGUGUUGUUUCUAGAUUCAGUGAUGUGUUUUGCCUUACGUGGAGGCCAACCUUUGUGAUCUUAUUUGUCGACACUUGUUAUAUUGAUGUGGUAUGGUGUGUGCUUUAUGUAUAUAUAUAUAUAUGAAUGUGUUAUGGACUAUAUUGUUAUAUUGUCUAUUUAUGUUAUAUUGUCUAUUUCUGCUGUUAUAUUGUUUAUUUA